GCGUGCCUGCGGUCAGCCGGGACAGCAAGGACCAGGGGACCUCAACCUACGGCCACCCUCCGUGGGGCGGCUUACCCGGCCCGCCACAUGGCAGAAGCUUCUGUGAUUCGGGAUCUGUGGUGACUCAAGAGGGCUAAUACUGCAUGGCCAAUUGCAUCUCUCACACAAGCAUUUCCAGCUGAAAGGCUCACCUUUCCAUCUUGGAUUGUCAAUAAGCAAAGGGGAAAGGUGCUAAAGUGAGAAGCUGUGGGCAUUGUUGGGAUGCACGCACAAGAGGCAGGUUCUCCUUCCCAGUCCAAGAACCCCACUCCUGUUAAUUCUUCACAUGCUUUUAAGAGUAACACAAAUGUCACAGAGCAGAAGCUCUAUAGAGGGAGAGGCUGGAUGGGUCCACACGAGACAUCCCUAGGAUUUGGGCUUAGGAAGGAAGACAAGAGAAGCUUGGAAGGUCCAGUCUCCAGCAACUGAAUAAUCUAAUUUCUGAGAUGAGAGUUCCACUGGGGUCCUAAGCUGGGGACAGAGCUGGCAGAAGGGGGUGCAUGAGCCCAGAAUCCUGGGAUCAUGACCUGAACCAAAGGCAGCUGCUCAACUGACUGAGCCACCCAGGCGCCCCACAGUUUCUUAAUCUUUAAACCUCAGUUUGUUAGUGAAGUGAAGGUAAUGCCUACCUCAUGGGGUGACUUAAGGAUUAAAUGAGGGAAAGCACCAAACACUUAGCAAAGGAACUGACACCUAGCAAGUGCCUGGUACUUGUCAAUAUUAUCCAAUCAUAACGUAGUUCCAAUAUAAGGUCCCUCUUACUCUGGCUUCAUUCUUGAUUAGCUGGUCAACCACCCAUUGUAUCCUUGGUGACAACCACUUGGGACCUCCAGCUAACCAGGAACCAGGAGCCUAAUUCUCCAGAGACAUGCCUCUUGCUCUACAUAAUUGUGUGCUGUCCGACAGAGAGUCUGUCUGUAAAACUUCAUCCUAGGAAGGAGCCUGCCUUGAAGUGGGUUCCACUGGGAUGACACCCAAUUCAUCUCUGUAUCCCCAGUGUCUGAUAUACAGUGUGGUGUCUGACAAAUGUCCCUUUGGUUUCAGUGGGAGAAGCAUUAGGCUGAGAAUCCAGUGACCUGGGGUCUGGAGCCAGGCUUCUUCCUGAUACACUGUCAGUCCUGGGAGAAGUUACUUUAUUUCCCUGGGCCUUAGUUUCUUUAUCAGACAAGCAAGAGUUUGGAUCUGGUGACCUCUAGGUCCCCAGCCGACCCAGUCCCAUCUCUAGGAGAAGUCUAUGCUUCUUUCUAACUCGCUCCCCUGACCUUCCCCCUCCCCGACACCCAGAACCUAAGUGGCUCCUUCUGGCCUGCAGGACCAUGUCUCUGCAUCCUGGAAUCCAGGCAGCAGCAGUGUAACCAAGCUGCUGACAGUAAUGUGUCAGGCAGGGUACAUGGCCAGCAGAAAGAGACAAUAGACAACACAAGAGAGUGUCACCAGCAUCCUGCUCUCAAAUUACGCCAAAUAAACGCCUUUGAGCACUCAGAGAUUAGAGCCUCCCCGAUCGAAGCUGGAGGGAAAGAAUGGCUUCAAUUAAAAGAAACAGCAGAAUUACUGAUUUCCUUAGAGACACUCCUCCCAAAUUACUACAAACAGCCCCAGUGCUCCCUACUGUGAAUUUCAGUGUCAAGGGCCAAUUCAAACCAUUCUUCAGUCAUGAGACAAUCCUCAAGCAAGGCACUCUCAGCAGCCCCACCUCUGCAGAGGUGGUCUUGGAGGUCCUACUACCCCCGCCAAGAGGGAAGGGAGGUUAGUUCCCACCACCUCCUUUCCUGAAGAUAGCUCCCAGUAGUUCUAAAUUGUUUCAAGGCCCUUCCUUUUUAAGGAGCCAGAAAAACCCAGACUCUCAGGAAAAGGAGAUGCUUUGAAUUUUCAAGACCUCCACUUAUGGGGAUGGAAGAACAGGAUUAACUCCCCAUAAAGUGGAGUGGAAGCUCGUGGUGUAAGGUUGAAAGGGAGAGGGGAGCUCUGGACUGAAUUCCAGCCCCACCACAUGAGAGCUGAGCCAUCUUAGGCAAGUUCCUUCACUUUGAUGAGCCUCAGUUUCUCAGCCUAUAAAAUGGCUCUGAUGAAAAUCAGUCGAUCAUUUAUUCAGUGGCUAUUUGCUAUGUAUAUACCUCAAAAAGGAGUCUGUGGG